UUAAACUGAAGCACCAGCCUGCUCCAUUCAGAGGAGGAUACUUUGUGAGAACCAAUGGAAAGGAGCCUGAGCUGCUGGAAUCCAUUCACUUAUCAUGCCAAGAAUU